UUUUUCAUUUUUAAAGUCCAUUCAUCUCUUCUUCCAAACCCGAAUCUUAAGUUCGCAAGUUUGACAACAAUCAAAAUUAAAUAUUAGAAUCAUCAGUAAGAAGCAUGGUUUUCAUUUCUGAAGUCCAUUCAUCUCUUUUUCCAAACCCAAAUCUUAAGUCUGCAAGUUCGAGAGCAAUCAAAAUCAAAUAUUGGAAUCGUCAGUAAGAAGCACGUUUUCAUUUCUAAAGUCCAUUCAUCUCUUCUUCCAAACCGAAAUCUUAAGUCCGUAAGUUUGAGAGCAAUCAAAAUCAAAUAUUGGAAUCAGUAAGAAGCAUGGUUUUUAUUUCUAAUUUUCUUUGAAUAGUUGGCCAAUUCGUUUUAAUCAACUAUGUUCAAGACUUCAUGUUUUCUAGUAAGCUUUCUAACAUUCUAGGGUUUUUAGUAUUGUAAAAUUUUGAUAUUUCAGUUUUGAAAUAAAUUCCUGGCUUAUUGUCGCUCUGCAUCAUCUAAUUCUAACGAUCACAUAAAUAUCCAAAUGCUGCUUUAGAUUUAAUUAUGUUCUGAUGAAGUCUUGAACAUAGUUGGCUUAUAAUCUCACGAAAGGUGUUUUUUCUUCCCAGUUAGAUGAUUGAAUAGAUAAAUCCAUUGUUGUGGUUGAUUCAUGAAAUCUGACUAUUAUCCCGACUCACAAGAAAAAGGGGUAGUUGAAUCAUUUCUCUUUUUCUCUAUCCGUGCUUCAAUACCACAAAGAAUUACUACUCUGCCGUUUCAAGGAAGUCUUUCCUCUUUAUGGUACCAUCAAAAGUUUCUAACUACGAUCACAGAGAAUGAAAGAUGAGCACAAAUGUCGCACCGUCAACGAAAAGACCCAGUGAUUGAUAGAAAACCCACCCAGUAAGAAUUUUUAAUACAACCGAUUAAAAAAAAAAGAAAUUUAAUUACUCUCAAUUACCUUUGAUUAAUGUUUCAGCAGUGUGAAAAAAACUGAUUAUAGGUUCUAAGUAUAAGUUGAGAAGAAAGGUGGCAGUAGAUCCUUUGUUUAUCUUCUUUUACUUUUUUUGGAAUUUGUUUCAUUAGUAGUUGUUGGUUGAUCAGAUUUGUGAUUUCUAGGUGCAGGGACGGAGGAUUUAUGAUAUUGUUUAUGUGUUAAAAAGUAUUGGGGUUUAAACUACAAAAACUAAGAAUAAGCAUGCUUGGGUUGGGUUUGCUGGAAUUCCUAAAAGGCAAAAACGUGAAAUCAGAACAAAAGGGUCUUCAAUCCCUAGCAGUCAAGCAACGAAAUGAUAUGCAGAACUGAAUAAUCAAACACCCGGGUUUGUGUUUGGUAAUUGUUGAUGUAGAGGUCGUGGAUAUGAGGUAAAGCUGCUGCCCAAAUUUGUAUAUGGAGGAAAUAAAUCAUUUGUGGUUUUCCAGACCAUAUACAACAUUACACAUGCAUAUAGAACUCAAUGCCCUACCGUUCUGAUUUCAAAACAAUGAAUUAAAGUUGUUUUUCAUUUUUGCAGCAACUCAAAUGAAAUCUUAUGCACCCACACCAUAAAGGUAUUUUGUCCACUAGAUCCGUUAAUUCCAGGUAUGAAUGAUUGAGGUUGUCAUUGAAUAGGGUUCUCAUUUCUCUCGAUAGAUUCCUGAAACUAAAUUAUCUAUCUUUUGAUUAAGAAUUGACCACUGAACUUGAUAAUAGUAGACUCACUUAUCCAUCAUUGAAUAAAAAUGAUGUUAACACAUUUAGUAAGGAAUAUU